rnacentral:lncRNA from 1 species
GGAGAUAGAAGGUGAACCGAACGACGAAUGGUUUCAUACUGAAGGAAAAAAGGGUCAUUGGUGUUAACCGUGUUUGGAUCCAAAGGGGUGAGGUUGAAGUCAAUUUGACUUACCUGAUGAGGGAAAGAAGAACAAAAGCGAGAGAUGAUGUUUGACUCAGCGAGAGAGACUAUGGGUUUGGGAAUGAUGAGAGUAACUUUGCAGCCAUAACGGAGGAACACUGAGGCUAGUCUGAGACAUGGGUUGAGGUGACCCAUGCCAGCACUUGAGAGGAAAGCCACAUGAACAGCAGCUUCAGGAACAGACAUUCUUUGUUGUGUUGGAUCUCACAAGAGUUGCUGUUGUGUUCUGAGAUCAAGGGAGAGAAAAAGAUAGAGUUUUUUUUUGGGUACUGCUGAAAAUCUAUUGCAUUGUCUUAUUUAGAUUUGUCCAAGGAAAAAGUGAAGUAAUGAAUACAAGAAAGGAACAUAAAGACAGAAAAAUAAGUAAUUUGCUUAAUUAUUAAUUCUAUUUAUUAUUUUUAAUAGUACAUUAAUUUGUUAUAUUUUAAUUAUAGAAAAAACACGCAAUUGAAAAAAUAUAAUAUUAUGGAGUUUAUUUGUAACUUUUGACGUGUUUUUAAUGAAAUUGUAAAGAAUGUUGGCAUAUCUGCAUUCCAAACUUUACGCCGAACAUCUUUCGACCCACACUCUCACCGUCUGUCUACAAACUUUUUAUUUAUGUUAUUAACAUUCCAAAAUUUUUUUAUAACUAUUUCACAUUCUUCUCCGUUAUUUUUUACUUUUUUUGUUUUUAUAAAUAAAAAAGUUAUUAUUAUUUUACUUUUUUAAUGUCAAACAUUCUAUGUGAGUAUCAAAUAAUGUCAAACAAUUUAUUUUUUAAAUAUUUUGACUUAAAUGUUUAUUCCAUUCUACUUUAAUAAGUAAAUUUUUAUUUUGUAUCCGAUUUAAAAAAUAAGACAUUGAAAUCUUAUGUUAUAAAAAAUUGUAUGAAAGUUGACAGUAAGGGUAGGGUGGUAAUUUCAUAUUGAUCGUAGCUGUUAUAUCACUAUUACGGCAUUUACAAAGAGAUUUAGAGAAAGAUGAGGCGAAAAAUAUUGAAAGCAAUUGAUUAACGAGCUAAAAAAAUGCAAUUGAUUAAGCAUUAAGGAAGUGAGAGGAGAUUAUGGAAAACAGAAGGAGCACUAAUGAACGUUAUAUAGUAGUUGGAUGUUCACAUAUCAAAAGACAGGCAGUAUGAAAGGAUCACCUCGAGGUGGUUAACGUAUGAAAGAGAGAUAUGAUUUUGAAUAGUGCUGACAAAAGUUAUAGUUAAUUAAUUAUUACAUAAUAAUUAUUUAAAUAAAAUAAAAUAAAAUUUAUUUAUUUAAAUUUUGAUAAUUUGUUUUAAUAUAUUUUAAAUUAAAUUACAUUUUUUAAAAAUUUCAUUUUAUAUUAGAUUAUUUUUAAAAAUUUACUUUUUAAGUAUAUUAUAUAUCAACCUCACUAUUCAUAAAUUUCAUAAACUUUCUUUUCAUUUUUUUUCACACUUUUCACUAUUUUUUUUCCUAAUUUAAACAAUCUUAACUUUUUAUUAUUAUUUUUUUUCUUCUAAUUUUUCAAAUCUACUCUCUAUUCCAAAAGCACUCCAAAAAAUAGUCAUUAAAUAUCUUAAAGAGAGUGAGAUGCUAUUAUAAAAGUUUUUCACAAAGAAAAUAAAUGUAUUCAUCAUUAUUUAACUAGGUGAUUAUCAAUAGACUUAAGUUUUUUUGGUUUGAUAGUUAAGAUAUGGAUUUUAAAUCUAAUUUAAUUCUACAAAACUAACUUAUAAAAUAAGGUUCACAUUCACUUAUAUACUAUAAACUUAUUUUUAUGUCUAAUUGAUGUGAGAUCUUUAACACACAUCUCUCAUGUUAAAGUCUAUAUAUCUCAAACGUAAGACUAAAUAUUAAUAAAUGAUUCGACAUCAAUUCGAUAUCAAAUGAAACAAUAUGUCAAUAGAAAAACAAAUCUCGUUAAAAUACUCUUUAGAAUAAAUAUAUCAAAAGUAUGAGAGAUUUUCUUUUUAACAAUUUGUGAGUGAGUAAAGAGGAGAAUUGUGGGAUACUAUUUCAACAAUACGAAGAUAUAAAAUAAUUUUUUUAUCAUACUAUCCCUAGUAUCUCCACGGUUAAUCAAUUUCAUCACUUUUUGUUAUCAGUUUUCUUCCCCAUGUAAUUUGUUCCCCUCCCCCACACUAUAUAUGUUCAUAUCAUAUAAUAAUAAUAUUAUAUAAUAAUAAUAUUAAAUACUGAUAGUAAUAUUAUAUAAUAGUAAUAUUUAAUAUUCUUAUUAUUAUUAAUAUAAUAGUAAUAAUAAUAUUAAAUAAUAAUAAUAAUAUACUAAUUUUAAUUAUAAAACAAUUAUCUUAUAUUUUAACUUUUUCUUUUAAAUAUUUAUGAAAAAAUAUAUCCAAAGAAUUUAUAAAAUUUAUAUUUCUCUAUUUUACUAUAAUCUACAUAUUUCUUCUCUAUUUUAAUUAUUUAUUAAUUUUUUUAAUUCUAUUAUUUCAAAUAAUUUUUUAUCAAAAAAUAUUAUUCAUAAGUAUUAUUUUAUAUUAAUAUUAUCAUUAGAGACAAUUUGAUAUUCUUCAUUAUAUAUCUAUUAAAAUAUAUAUUUUUAAUCUAACUUUCAUAAACUUUACUUUUAAAUAUACUUUUAAUCAUUUCUAUUUAAAAAACAACACAUAAUUUACUCUCAAAUCCAUUUACUUUCUCUCCCUCAAAUCAUCCUCCUCAAAUAAACACAUCCUAAAUAUUUACUUUUAAGUUCUUAAUAUAUUCUAUAUUUUUUCAUCUUAUUUUAUGAUGCAAAUGAGUGAACUUUAAAGUUGUAACCUACGGUAUUAAAGUACUAUAACGCCUAACGUGAUUAGAAAACACAGCUUAGACUUUGUAAAACUUUUUUCUUUUUUCUUUGGCUUUUUUUUUUCAAAAGUUUAGGAUCAUGAAAAAGUUAUAGCUUUCAUGAUUUACAAUUUUCUUCUUUAAAUUUAUUUAUUUAAUUUAUAUAUUUUCAUAAAAGAACUCAUAAUAGAUUUUAAAUUUUAAUUAUUUUUACUUUUACUUUUAAAUUAAGGAAUUGAUCAGUAUGAUCGAAAAUAAAUUUAAAAAAUAAAUGAGUAAUAUUAUUUCUAAAAUUUUUUGUAUUAAAAUUUUAUAUAAAGAUGGUUAAUCAUUUUUAAUAGUGUAUUUUUUUUUCUCGACUUCUAAUUUCCUAAUAAUUUAACCUUGAUCUCUCCUAAUUCGUAAAUAGACAUAUUUAUUAGAAUACUUGUGUCGCUGUUGAGUAAUAAAUAUUUUAUUUGGGCUGCUAUAAAACAACAUUUGAGAAAUAAAAACGUGAAUAUAGAAUCUAAAAUUAUAUAAUUACACGUGAAUAAUUAAGAAUAACAACCUGUUAAUUAACUGCAACAUCAAACUUUAAUAACAGUUUUGCUUCUCUUUCUUAACACAAUUCGUUUUAUCAGCAGUAUCUUUCCUCUCUACUUUUACUGUGCAAACAGUUAACAUAUUUAAAAACUCCAUUACUCAUAAAGUACUCAAUAAACCCCUCUCUCUUUCUCUUCUUAAUCAUUGUUAUAUAUUAUGAAGGUAUUAAAAACAAAGAUGUUAUACUUAAUUUAUAAAAUUAACUUGUAAAAUAAGAUUUAUAUUUAUUUAUGUAUUAUGAAAUUAUUUUAUUUUCAGUUAUUAUGAGAUUUUCAACCUGUUUAUUUUGAACAUUUUUUGUUUUUUAGAAAAGAAAUAUUUUUUUAAUAAUUUUUUUAUAAUUAUUUAUAUAAUAUUUUAUGAAUAGUCUGUUUUAAAUUUAUCAAUUAAUAAAAUAAUGAUAUGUAAUUUAUUAUAAAAAAAAUAUUUUAAAUAUACCAAUUAAUAAAAUAAUAAUAAGUAAUUUAUUAUAAAAAAAAUUGUUAGAAAAAGUCGUCAGAUUCUUCUAAAAAUCACCUCCCAACGUGAUCUUGUGGUUUAUUAGGUAAAACCAUUCUCAGCUAUAACACUCAUUUCAACCUAGGAUUGAUCUUCUAGAAGUCAGAAACAAGAGUUGUCUGUUUCUGCAACUGAUAAAAAGGGAAUGCAGAUCAUCAUUUUCUUGUAUCAAAUCUCUUCCUCGCAUUUUACUGAGUAUCUUUCGUUGAUGUAAAAAGAAAAUGUUGAUAAGUGUGAAAAAUAGAUGUUUUUACACUUAUAAAUGAUCUUAAUCUUGUAAUUAUUUAUGUUUUUACUCAGUGAAAAGUUAUAAUAGGAAGUAGAUUAUUACGUAAAUUAUUGUUCAGGAAAAAAUUGUACAAAGUGGAAGCUGUGAGCCAAUUCUCGCAGAGCGCAAGCAAAUUCGCAGAGCCAGCAAAAUUAAUUCGCAUAGCGUACACACAUAUGUGCGCUGAGCGAAUAAUGAAAAUUAAAAAAAGGGCAGUAUUUUGAAAAUUCACAUAGUGCAUCAGAGACUGUGCGCUUAGCGAAUUACAGCAGUUGAGUGUAUAAUUAAAACUAAUUCGCACAACGAAUACACUCUUGUGCGCUGAGCGAAUUAAAAUAAUUAACUGCUCUUUAAAGACAUGACAGAGAGGCAGAAACGGGAUCUUCUAACAUUCCAAAAAUACAUAACUGCUCUGGAUACCAAGAGAAGACCAUCAGAAGACUCUCUAAAGACAUCAAGACUGCACAUAAUGCAAGGAAUUGCUGAAAUGAGUACGUUUGUGAUGUCUAAGAUAUGCUAAAUUUCUGUUCGUUGGAAUUGAUUGUAAUGGCUGACACUUGAUGUAAUUUUUCCUGUUCAAUAUAAGUUCUGUUCAUAUGCUUUUCUUGUUUUACUUGUGAUUAUACGGAAGUAUAAUAUAUUUAAUAUAUUCAAAUUGUACUGGGAAGUAAAUUUGAGUAUGAACGUAAGAAAAGCAACAAGAAGGAACGAAGCUAGGAAUGAUUUCAAUUCUUCUGGUCAUUUAUAAACAACAGAUCUUAAUGCAAAGGUUAUGUUUAGUUACUUAAGGAAUUAAUAAUUGAGCAUAAUUCUUUAGAACUUGUUUUAAGGGAUUAAACCAAGAUACUGUGAUGUUAAUGUUUGAACACAAAUUAUAUUGUUCAGAAAAGUUACUGUAAUGGUAGCCAUGAAGUCAAUUCCAACUAAGCUUUCUUCCAUCUUUAAUUUUCAAAUUUUAAUAUUCGGUUAAUUUCUUACUUUCAGUUCACUGAAUCAGAUUCUAAUUUGUUGUCAAAUUGAUUUUGAUAAAUACUAUUAAAUUGAAUAACGUAACACAAAUUCCCUUGGGAGAACGAUACUCUUAACUUUAUCAUUGUAUUACUUGUAACGAUUUGGUAUACUUGCCAAAAAGUUAUCAAAAUGUGGUUUAAGCAAAAUUAGCAGUAUGACUAAUACAUUGCAACUUAAGAAAUGGAAAAAUCUAGUAAUUCAAUCAAAGUAAAGUUUAGAAAAACAGUGUCAUGUAAAAGAAAUUAUUUUUAGUCAAUAAAAUAUUAUCAUCAUAACUAGUUAUUGUGAAAGUUAAAACAAGAUUGUGAGAAACGGAUGUAAAAAACUUUAGACUCAGUGAUUUUUACUGAUAAAAGUUGCAGCACUUAGAAUCUGUUGAAUUACGGGUUUUCUGCAAAAAGUUGGAGUUCUGGGUUAGGAAACAAAAUAUUUGAUUAUUGAUUGUGCAGCCUCUUUUUCUGCCCCCACCUGCCUAAAUUUGAAGAAAAGAACAAUGAACCUAAGGAAAUAAAAAAAAAAAAAAAGGAGAAAAACGGGAUGUUCAUUAAUCUCACAAUACAGAGCUUUCUGAUGCAAGCAUUGUAACAGUGUGAAUAUCGAAUUUUCAUCAAUUUCCAAACCCAACUCACUACUUUUUGUAACAAAGAAAUAAAAAGCAUUAAACACAAACACUGAACCUAAUUGGAAAUGUAACCACAGAAUAAAACAACAAAUUACUGUUUGAGUAGCUGUUUGCAUACUAUAUCAUGCAAUUGAGAUUGCGACUGUAUUAUUUUCUGACAGAAUUUCAAAUGCAGACUUAAACUUAAUAUUGUGAAUAGGCAAAAUAGUACUGAGUGUCAAUGCUCAGUUGACUUGAGCCUUCCUCUUCCACUNCUCAGUUAAUCUCUUAAUAAUAAGCUCACAACUUCCACCAACACCACAAGCCUUCCUUGCNGCCUCCUUCAUUUCUCCAGCUUUGACCCUCAAAGACUCAUUGCUCAUCAGCUCUUUGAUUCUCUUAGCAAUCUCNUUCCCUUCCACCACCUUCUGUGUCCCCCACCCCCAUUCCUCACCCAAAAUCCCAACCCCACUCAUCCUAACCACCUCUGCAUUAAACUUCUGAUCCGCACCCUGAGGCCAUAUCAGAAUAUUCACUCCUUCCCUUAUACUCUCAGUUACCGAAUUCCAACCUCCAUGAGUCACAAAUCCUCCAACUGCAGGGUGCCCCAGAAUCUUUGUCUGCUCCACAAACUCCUUCACAACCACACCCUUCUCCCUCACCUUACUCAUCAACUCACUCCCCACCACAUCCUCCAAAUCCUCCUUCUCUUCUCUGUCAACCCUCGUCAACUUAACCACCCACAGGAAACUAUACCCACAUUCUAUUAACCCCAAAGCCAUGUCUUUUAUCUGCUCCCUCCUUGUCUCAGUUCUGUUCCCCAAGCUAACAUACACCACCGACCCUUCAGCNCGUUCAUUAAGCCACUCCAGUAUCCAACUCAUGCAACCCUUUUCACCUUCAUCUACAUUCUCAAACUCACACGUCAUCAAGGGACCAAUUCCAUAUACCGGGGGCAGCCCUCUAACCACUUUUCCUUCAUUCAACGCUGCUAGUNCCUCUCCUUCCAGUUCCUCAAACGAGUUGAUGAAAACCCCAUGGUGCUUCUUGAGGUUGCGACCGUCCUCCAUGAUCAUUCUCUGAAAGGAGUUGAUACCUUCAAGAAGAAAAGGGGGAGGGACCGAGGAUCUUGGUAUUGGUAAUGUGAUACCCGGGAUAUGAAUAGCAUCACCAACUAACGUAGACGGGUGUGGUUGUGCAGCUGGAUCGGAAUCAGCAAGAACAGAAACGUAUGCAAGGAAAGAUAACAUUCUAGCUGAGGAGGUGAAGUGAAUGUAACUGGGACAAAACAUUUUGUCAACGAUGGGGAGUAUAGGAGAAAUUAAGAAAACAUCGACAAUGAAAGCUGAGAGAGAAGUUGAAAGAGAAGAUAGGAUUGGAGAUAGAAGGUGAACCGAACGACGAAUGGUUUCAUACUGAAGGAAAAAAGGGUCAUUGGCGGUGUUAACGGUGGUAGGAUCCAAAGGGGUGAUGUUGAAGUCAAUUUGAGUUACCUGGUGAGGGAAAGAAGAACAAAGGCGAGAGAUGAGGUUUGAUUCAGCAAGAGUGACAGUGGGCUUGGGAAUGAUGAGAGUGACUUUACAACCAUGGCGGAGGAACACUGAGGCUAGUCUGAGGCAUGGGUUGAGGUGACCCAUACCAGCACUUGUGAGGAAAGCCACAUGAACUGCAGCUUCAGGAACAUGCAUUUUUUGGUGUGUUUGAUCUCACAAGUGUAUGGGGUCGCUGUUGUGUUGUGAGAUGAAGAGAAAAAGAUACAUUUUUAU